ensembl:lncRNA
AGGAUUGAGUCCUCCCUCGAGAGCUUCCGAAACCUUAACAGUUGGCGCCCAACGUGGGGCUCUCGUUGGGGGAAGGCGUUGCUGAGAGGUUUGACUGCAAGUACCACGGGUACAAACAAGGUAAAACAAACUUUUUCAUGAAUUCUGUGAUAGGUAGGUUUAGGAAGAUUUAGAGUGGUGCUGGCAGUCGGCCAUGAGGCAAGGCCUUAGAUGCUAAAGACUAAAGGCUAGUACAUUAAUGACUUGGGUGAAUAUAAUAAGCUGAUAUUGAAUAACAGUGGGGGCAUACUUUUGCAAAGUGAAUGCGAAUGGGAGCCGGCUUUUAGAAAUUCCAAACACGCGCGUUUGGUGCGUUCAGGUACACACUUAGAGCGUUAGAAAAAUCCAGGCGGCGAACUGGUCUGCUGAGACAUAAAGACCAGCAGGAUAAAAUCAUACAAGUAGACCCGUAUGGGAUUGGUUAGGGGGUUCGCAUGAGGUGUGACGAUGCGCAUGUUGUCCACUAGGUUUCCCACAAUAAUUACGGCGUCUUUAGAGAAGACUCUUCUCUUCAUUUCCCCUCUCUGUGCAUAAAGUCCUUCACAAUUAGGUAUUGCAGGAUUUAAUAGAUUGGGGGGGGGGAGCUUGCUCUACGGGAUUGGCUUACGCGAUAAUCCAGCGGCGACUGGUUAAGGUUAUGGUUAAAGGUAAUCCAGCGGCGACUGGUUAAGGUUAUGGUUAAAGUUAUAAUCCAGCGGCGACUGGUGGAGGUUAUAGUAAAGGAGAAAUCCAGCGGCGACUGGUAAGAUCUGCUUAACAUUUUCCACCCUCUAGAAAUCCUAUGAAUUAGGUAUAUAGGUUGUCUAGAAGGGGGUGGGUGGCGGAUAUGCGCUUUAGUGUAAAUGAUAGUGUAUAUACAUCUGCAUGUGGUGUGAGUGUGAGUGAGUGUUAGUACGUGGUGCGUGAGUGUUUGAGUUGCGGGGUGCAUGUGCUUGAUUGAUGUAUGGAUGUUCCAAAUUAUGUUUUAAUACGUGUAUGUGAUUGUUUAACAGUGUAUAUAUAUGUAUAGAAUCCGAACUGGAGACUGAUCAUCUCCGGCGUCGGGUUGUAAAACCGUAGCAUAUUAAGGUGUUGGUGAGUAGUCCAACCCGGACCACGUGAGGCUGCCUUGCUAGCGGCUAACGGGGUCUCAUUGGUAAUUCCACUGGGGAAAUAGCGGGGCUUGCGGGUGCUGAUAGCUUGACCACGUUGUGGGUUAGCAGUUAGCUUGAGCCCAUUGUUCUUUGCUACGCCGGCACACGGCGUUUUACGAUCCAUGACCGGAAGCGUCGAGGCACUUCCUCUUUGGUAGUUCUGUGUUCGAUCUUCAGCUAUCGGCUGAACAGCGCCUCAUGUGGUUGGAGUAAGUGCACAUCGUGAGGGGAAAGCCCCUGAGUGUGCCAUGUGGUGGGUGUAAGAGGGAAUUACAAGAGGGGGAGUUCAAUUUCUUCACUUGCCGUGUUCGGACGUUGACUUUGAUGCACAUUUGCCUUUGCUUAUUAGGAAAGAGUUAAGGUCGAUAAGAUAACUUGACGGAUAUCUGGAUUGGUGUUGACGUUUAAUUGAAAUAGUAAAGUGCUGUAUUGUUACGUUGAAUAUGGUUUGUAAUAGUCCUGCAUUUGUUUUGGAUUGAAAUUGGAGGUUGACUUAAUUUUGAUGUGGUGCUUUUGAGAAGCUGUUAUGAAUUGUUUGAUUUCGAUCUCCAAUGUUUAGCUGAAACCAGAUUGACUGUCAUUGCAUUGUCUCUGGGUUGGGGGUGGAUCAUUGUUUAUAUUGUGGUAUAAUCUCUGGCGACAUUUGUGGGGGAGUGCUUCUGCUAUACUUCCUGAUUAAUAUUGCCGGCAGUUUGACUGUAUCAUCAUAACUUUGAAUAAUUUUGUAACCUUGAUUAAUAAUUUGGAGUAAUUCAUUUUUAGACAUCAAGAUUAACUUUAUUGAAGUUUAAUUUUUAGACUUUUGAAUUUGAAUGAAGAUUGAGUUUUGAUUUGAGAUAUAGUUAAUUCUUUCUCUUUUUCCUCUAUUUAAUUGUAAUCAUAGUCUUUGGCAUUGAUCAUUGAUUAUACUAAUUUUUACAGUUCCGUGAUUGAUUUGAUUUUGAGGUUAGAGGUACUGAUAAGUUGAUUUAACCUAGUGGUCUAACAAGAUAGUUUUAGUAAUUACACAGCAGUUAUUGAACUGAUUUGAUGUUGUAAAUUGUCCUCCUUACUUUUUAGAUUUGGUUAUUUGUUUUACUGUAUCGAUUCUGGUCGAUGGUUC